rnacentral:rRNA from 1 species
AGUUUGAUCCUGGCUCAGAUUGAACGCUAGCGGGAUGCCUUACACAUGCAAGUCGAACGGCAGCACGGACUUCGGUCUGGUGGCGAGUGGCGAACGGGUGAGUAAUGUAUCGGAACGUGCCCAGUAGCGGGGGAUAACUACGCGAAAGCGUAGCUAAUACCGCAUACGCCCUACGGGGGAAAGCAGGGGAUCGCAAGACCUUGCACUAUUGGAGCGGCCGAUAUCGGAUUAGCUAGUUGGUGAGGUAAUGGCUCACCAAGGCGACGAUCCGUAGCUGGUUUGAGAGGACGACCAGCCACACUGGGACUGAGACACGGCCCAGACUCCUACGGGAGGCAGCAGUGGGGAAUUUUGGACAAUGGGGGAAACCCUGAUCCAGCCAUCCCGCGUGUGCGAUGAAGGCCUUCGGGUUGUAAAGCACUUUUGGCAGGAAAGAAAUGGCGUGUGUUAAUACCAUGCGCAGAUGACGGUACCUGCAGAAUAAGCACCGGCUAACUACGUGCCAGCAGCCGCGGUAA